rnacentral:rRNA from 1 species
AGUGAACGCUGGCGGUAGGCCUAACACAUGCAAGUCGAACGGCAGCACAGGAGAGCUUGCUCUCUGGGUGGCGAGUGGCGGACGGGUGAGGAAUACAUCGGAAUCUACUCUGUCGUGGGGGAUAACGUAGGGAAACUUACGCUAAUACCGCAUACGACCUACGGGUGAAAGCAGGGGAUCUUCGGACCUUGCGCGAUUGAAUGAGCAGAUGUCGGAUUAGCUAGUUGGCGGGGUAAAGGCCCACCAAGGCGACGAUCCGUAGCUGGUCUGAGAGGAUGAUCAGCCACACUGGAAAUGAGACACGGUCCAGACUCCUACGGGAGGCAGCAGUGGGGAAUAUUGGACAAUGGGCGCAAGCCUGAUCCAGCCAUACCGCGUGGGUGAAGAAGGCCUUCGGGUUGUAAAGCCCUUCUGUUGGGAAAGAAAUCCAGCUGGCUAAUACCCGGUUGGGAUGACGGUACCCAAAGAAUAAGCACCGGCUAACUUCGUGCCAGCCGCCGCAGUAA